rnacentral:rRNA from 1 species
AUGAAGGGGGACAGACCAGAUUGGCGAUUGACCGGGCUCUAUGGAGAACCAGUUUGGGAUCGGCGUAAUUUUCCUUGGAUCUAUCCUAGGGAGCUUAAGGGAGAUGCUACAGGUCCAUGGCUAGUAAUCAGAGAUUUUAACGAAAUUCUAGUGCCAACUGAGAAGGAUGGUGGGAAUCCUCGACCACAACAUAUGCUUCAAGAUUUUAGUGACUGUCCAUUUGAAUGUGGCCUGGACGGAGUUGAGUUUUUGGGAGAUCAGUUUACAUGAAGACGUGGUGAUAUGCAGGAGAGAUUGGAUCGGGCGGUAUGCAAUGCGGGGUGGUCAACAAAAUUUCCACUGGCGGCGGUUGUUCACGAGCACCAUGUGCACUCUGAUCAUUGGCCUAUGCUGCUGGGCACGGAGAAAUAUGAUGGAUCUCAGUUCAAGAAAUCAUCGUGCAAAAAGUUUUGA